rnacentral:pre_miRNA from 1 species
AUGUUACUCACUCCGUUCCAUAGUUCUUGUUGAAAUAUUACAUGUAUCUAGAUGUUUUUUAGGAAUAGAUACAUCCAUAUUUGAGCAAAUUUGAGACAAGAGUUAUGGAAUGGAGGGAGUACUUC